UGGGGAAUAUUGGACAAUGGGCGAAAGCCUGAUCCAGCCAUGCCGCGUGUGUGAAGAAGGUCUUCGGAUUGUAAAGCACUUUAAGUUGGGAGGAAGGGCAGUUACCUAAUACGUGAUUGUCUUGACGUUACCGACAGAAUAAGCACCGGCUAACUCUGUGCCAGCAGCCGCGGUAAUACAGAGGGUGCAAGCGUUAAUCGGAAUUACUGGGCGUAAAGCGCGCGUAGGUGGUUUGUUAAGUUGGACGUGAAGUCCCCGGGCUCAACCUGGGAACUGCAUUCAAAAACUGACAGGCUAGAGUAUGGUAGAGGGUGGUGGAAUUUCCUGUGUAGCGUGAAAUGCGUAGAUAUAGGAAGGAACACCAGUGGCGAAGGCGACCACCUGGACUGAUACUGACACUNAGGUGCGAAAGCGUGGGGAGCAAAACAGGAUUAGAUACCCUGGUAGUCCACGCCGUAAAAACGAUGNCAACUAGCCGUUGGGAGCCUUGAGCUCUUAGUGGCGCAGCUAAACCAUUAAGUUGACCGCCUGGGGAGUACGGCCGCAAGGUUAAAAAC
rnacentral:rRNA from 1 species